rnacentral:rRNA from 1 species
AGCGAACGCUGGCGGCAGGCUUAACACAUGCAAGUCGAGCGGGCACCUUCGGGUGUCAGCGGCAGACGGGUGAGUAACACGUGGGAACGUACCCUUCGGUUCGGAAUAACGCUGGGAAACUAGCGCUAAUACCGGAUACGCCCUUAUGGGGAAAGGUUUACUGCCGAAGGAUCGGCCCGCGUCUGAUUAGCUAGUUGGUGGGGUAACGCCCUACCAAGGCGACGAUCAGUAGCUGGUCUGAGAGGAUGAUCAGCCACACUGGGACUGAGACACGGCCCAGACUCCUACGGGAGGCAGCAGUGGGGAAUAUUGGACAAUGGGCGCAAGCCUGAUCCAGCCAUGCCGUGUGAGUGAUGAAGGCCUUAGGGUUGUAAAGCUCUUUUGUCCGGGACGAUAAUGACGGUACCGGAAGAAUAAGCCCCGGCUAACUUCGUG